rnacentral:rRNA from 1 species
CGAACGGGUGAGUAACGCGUAGGUAACCUGCCUUGUAGCGGGGGAUAACUAUUGGAAACGAUAGCUAAUACCGCAUAACAAUGGAUGACACAUGUCAUUUAUUUGAAAGGGGCAAUUGCUCCACUACAAGAUGGACCUGCGUUGUAUUAGCUAGUUGGUGGGGUAACGGCCUACCAAGGCGACGAUCAGUAGCCGGCCUGAGAGGGUGAACGGCCACAUUGGGACUGAGACACGGCCCAAACUCCUACGGGAGGCAGCAUG